rnacentral:rRNA from 1 species
AUUGAACGCUGGCGGCAGGCCUAACACAUGCAAGUCGAACGAGUGGCGGACGGGUGAGUAAUGUCUGGGAACAUGCCUGAUGGAGGGGGCUAACUACUGGAAACGGUAGCUAAUACCGCAUACCAUCGGAUGUGCCCAGAUGGGAUUAGCUAGUCGGGGGGGUAAAGGCUCACCUAGGCGACGAUCCCUAACUGGUCUGAGAGGAUGACCGGCCACACUGGAACUGAGACACGGUCCAGACUCCUACGGGAGGCAGCAGGGGGGAAUAUUGCACAAUGGGCGCAAGCCUGAUGCAGCCAUGCCGCGUGUGUGAAGAAGGCCUUCGGGUUGUAAAGGACUUUCAGCGAGGAGGCGUUACUCGCAGAAGAAGCACCGGCUAACUCCGUGCCAGCAGCCGCGGUAAUAC